CAAUUACUGUGGGCAUAAAGCAGCAACUUGGGUAACUCUAAGGGUGCAUGAGGCAUUUAAAGAGUGUUUUUGAUACUACUGAGAUGUGAAAUAAGCAUGAUUAUACAUGUACUGCUACUGCUAGUUAAUAGCAACAUUCAUGUUCUGACAAAUGUUGCAGAAAGGUCAAGUAAGACAUGGGUCUAAACCAAGUAUUGAGGUGACUUUCAGAUGAUACAACUGUGGGCCAACAUCGGUCAUAUAUGAGGAAUAAGAGUUUAACAAGUUAUGUGGUAACCAGGUGACCUGUUGACCCAUUAGCAUUGGCUGCUUGAGACAAAUAAGGAUAUGAAGGAGAAAAUAACAAGAGACACAAUGAAGAAAAAAAGAACAAGAAAGAAACAAAGAAAGAAAGAAGCAACUGGCCCCUAUACAGCUAUUAAGACAAACUUUCUUAUUUUUCUUGUUCAUUUAUUGAGCCCCACUUCUCUGCUUCUUAACUUAGGGAGAUUUGAGGAUCCAAUUUCCUGAAGAAAAACCAUGAUCAACAUGGGUUAGCCAUAGGAUUCACAAAUACAACAAAAUAUUUAGUAUUUAUAGAAGAACAAUGAGGACCAAAAACAUGCUCACCUUCUCUUUUCCCAUGGAGCAUGGCAGAUCUCCACAUUGUUGGUAAAGUUGGUCUUAGGGCCCAAGGACAUGUCUUUGCAUUCAUUCGCAUCUUUGAUGAAAAACCCACAUUCAUCAAUUGUCCUAUAUCCAAUCUAAAAAUAAGCAAAACCCCUCUGAUAUUCAAUAACAUAGAUCAGUCCUUGAAAAACCAUGACAAACCUUCCUUGACACACCUACAAUGGCAAAUGCUAUGUGCUCACACAAAACCAAACAAAAGUGGAAAACCAUAAUGAUAAUCAAAGACGACCAAAUGCAAGGAUGAAGACAAACCAUUCAAAAAGCUUUUAGGGCCUAGUUUGGAAAUGGCAUAACGAUAGGACAAGGAAUUUAUCCUGCUUUAUACUUGGGAUAAAUGCAAAACAUGCCAAAAAUAACCUAGAAUUACUUAUCUCCAACACCUCAGUCAUACCAGCAUUACCAGGACCCAUGAUACCCUAGGAUACAACGAACCAGGUUAACCCCAUAUUUAUCAGACCUUAAUUAUUGAAAUGACCAAAAAAACCCAUUUAUGAGCAAAAAGGAAAAAACAAAAAGAAGGGCAUAUUUGUUUUUUAACCCCAUAUUUGUUUUUUAACCCAACAGUAAUUAUUGUAAUGUCAGUUGUACCAUGGUACAGCCUAAUCACGACAUGUGGAUAAAAUUGAUUUAUUUAAACAAAAUGAAAGGACUUAUCCCAC
rnacentral:lncRNA from 1 species